rnacentral:rRNA from 1 species
GGGCUACACACGUACUACAAUGGUAGGGACAGAGGGCUGCAAACCCGCGAGGGUAAGCCAAUCCCAGAAACCCUAUCUCAGUCCGGAUUGGAGUCUGCAACUCGACUCCAUGAAGUCGGAAUCGCUAGUAAUCGCAGAUCAGCAUUGCUGCGGUGAAUACGUUCCCGGGCCUUGUACACACCGCCCGUCACACCAUGGGAGUUUGUUGCACCAGAAGCAGGUAGCUUAACCUUCGGGAGGGCGCUUGCCACGGUGUGGCCGAUGACUGGGGUGAAGUCGUAACAAGGUAGCCGUAUCGGAAGGUGCGGCUGGAUCACCUCCUUU